rnacentral:rRNA from 1 species
UUAAGCGACUAAGCGUACACGGUGGAUGCCCUGGCAGUCAGAGGCGAUGAAGGACGUGCUAAUCUGCGAUAAGCGUCGGUAAGGUGAUAUGAACCGUUAUAACCGGCGAUUUCCGAAUGGGGAAACCCAGUGUGAUUCGUCACACUAUCAUUAACUGAAUCCAUAGGUUAAUGAGGCGAACCGGGGGAACUGAAACAUCUAAGUACCCCGAGGAAAAGAAAUCAACCGAGAUUCCCCCAGUAGCGGCGAGCGAACGGGGAGCAGCCCAGAGCCUGAAUCAGUGUGUGUGUUAGUGGAAGCGUCUGGAAAGGCGCGCGAUACAGGGUGACAGCCCCGUACACAAAAAUGCACAUAUUGUGAGCUCGAUGAGUAGGGCGGGACACGUGGUAUCCUGUCUGAAUAUGGGGGACCAUCCUCCAAGGCUAAAUACUCCUGACUGACCGAUAGUGAACCAGUACCGUGAGGGAAAGGCGAAAAGAACCCCGGCGAGGGGAGUGAAAAAGAACCUGAAACCGUGUACGUACAAGCAGUGGGAGCACGCUUAGGCGUGUGACUGCGUACCUUUUGUAUAAUGGGUCAGCGACUUAUAUUCUGUAGCAAGGUUAACCGAAUAGGGGAGCCGAAGGGAAACCGAGUCUUAACUGGGCGUUAAGUUGCAGGGUAUAGACCCGAAACCCGGUGAUCUAGCCAUGGGCAGGUUGAAGGUUGGGUAACACUAACUGGAGGACCGAACCGACUAAUGUUGAAAAAUUAGCGGAUGACUUGUGGCUGGGGGUGAAAGGCCAAUCAAACCGGGAGAUAGCUGGUUCUCCCCGAAAGCUAUUUAGGUAGCGCCUCGUUAAUUCAUCUCCGGGGGUAGAGCACUGUUUCGGCAAGGGGGUCAUCCCGACUUACCAACCCGAUGCAAACUGCGAAUACCGGAGAAUGUUAUCACGGGAGACACACGGCGGGUGCUAACGUCCGUCGUGAAGAGGGAAACAACCCAGACCGCCAGCUAAGGUCCCAAAGUCAUGGUUAAGUGGGAAACGAUGUGGGAAGGCCCAGACAGCCAGGAUGUUGGCUUAGAAGCAGCCAUCAUUUAAAGAAAGCGUAAUAGCUCACUGGUCGAGUCGGCCUGCGCGGAAGAUGUAACGGGGCUAAACCAUGCACCGAAGCUGCGGCAGCGACGCUUAUGCGUUGUUGGGUAGGGGAGCGUUCUGUAAGCCUGCGAAGGUGUGCUGUGAGGCAUGCUGGAGGUAUCAGAAGUGCGAAUGCUGACAUAAGUAACGAUAAAGCGGGUGAAAAGCCCGACUCGCCGGAAGACCAAGGGUUCCUGUCCAACGUUAAUCGGGGCAGGGUGAGUCGACCCCUAAGGCGAGGCCGAAAGGCGUAGUCGAUGGGAAACAGGUUAAUAUUCCUGUACUUGGUGUUACUGUGAAGGGGGGACGGAGAAGGCUAUGUUGGCCGGGCGACGGUUGUCCCGGUUUAAGCGUGUAGGCUGGUUUUCCAGGCAAAUCCGGAAAAUCAAGGCUGAGGCGUGAUGACGAGGCACUACGGUGCUGAAGCAACAAAUGCCCUGCUUCCAGGAAAAGCCUCUAAGCAUCAGGUAACAUCAAAUCGUACCCCAAACCGACACAGGUGGUCAGGUAGAGAAUACCAAGGCGCUUGAGAGAACUCGGGUGAAGGAACUAGGCAAAAUGGUGCCGUAACUUCGGGAGAAGGCACGCUGAUAUGUAGGUGAAGUCCCUUGCGGAUGGAGCUGAAAUCAGUCGAAGAUACCAGCUGGCUGCAACUGUUUUAUUAAAAACACAGCACUGUGCAAACACGAAAGUGGACGUAUACGGUGUGACGCCUGCCCGGUGCCGGAAGGUUAAUUGAUGGGGUCAGCGCAAGCGAAGCUCUUGAUCGAAGCCCCGGUAAACGGCGGCCGUAACUAUAACGGUCCUAAGGUAGCGAAAUUCCUUGUCGGGUAAGUUCCGACCUGCACGAAUGGCGUAAUGAUGGCCAGGCUGUCUCCACCCGAGACUCAGUGAAAUUGAACUCGCUGUGAAGAUGCAGUGUACCCGCGGCAAGACGGAAAGACCCCGUGAACCUUUACUAUAGCUUGACACUGAACAUUGAGCCUUGAUGUGUAGGAUAGGUGGGAGGCUUUGAAGUGUGGACGCCAGUCUGCAUGGAGCCGGCCUUGAAAUACCACCCUUUAAUGUUUGAUGUUCUAACGUGGACCCGUGAUCCGGGUUGCGGACAGUGUCUGGUGGGUAGUUUGACUGGGGCGGUCUCCUCCUAAAGAGUAACGGAGGAGCACGAAGGUUGGCUAAUCCUGGUCGGACAUCAGGAGGUUAGUGCAAUGGCAUAAGCCAGCUUGACUGCGAGCGUGACGGCGCGAGCAGGUGCGAAAGCAGGUCAUAGUGAUCCGGUGGUUCUGAAUGGAAGGGCCAUCGCUCAACGGAUAAAAGGUACUCCGGGGAUAACAGGCUGAUACCGCCCAAGAGUUCAUAUCGACGGCGGUGUUUGGCACCUCGAUGUCGGCUCAUCACAUCCUGGGGCUGAAGUAGGUCCCAAGGGUAUGGCUGUUCGCCAUUUAAAGUGGUACGCGAGCUGGGUUUAGAACGUCGUGAGACAGUUCGGUCCCUAUCUGCCGUGGGCGCUGGAGAACUGAGGGGGGCUGCUCCUAGUACGAGAGGACCGGAGUGGACGCAUCACUGGUGUUCGGGUUGUCAUGCCAAUGGCACUGCCCGGUAGCUAAAUGCGGAAGAGAUAAGUGCUGAAAGCAUCUAAGCACGAAACUUGCCCCGAGAUGAGUUCUCCCUGACCCUUUAAGGGUCCUGAAGGAACGUUGAAGACGACGACGUUGAUAGGCCGGGUGUGUAAGCGCAGCGAUGCGUUGAGCUAACCGGUACUAAUGAACCGUGAGGCUUAACCUU